ACGUAGGGAGCGAGCGUUGUCCGGAAUUACUGGGUGUAAAGGGAGCGUAGGCGGGAAGGCAAGUUGGAUGUGAAAACUGUGGGCUUAACCGACAGACUGCAUUCAAAACUGUUUUUCUUGAGUGAAGUAGAGGCAAGCGGAAUUCCUAGUGUAGCGGUGAAAUGCGUAGAUAUUAGGAGGAACACCAGUGGCGAAGGCGGCUUGCUGGGCUUUUACUGACGCUGAGGCUCGAAAGUGUGGGGAGCAAACAG
rnacentral:rRNA from 1 species